rnacentral:rRNA from 1 species
AAUGCGGCGACGCAAAGCGGAACUUGAAAGCCUGUCUCAGUUCGGAUUGGAGUCUGCAACUCGACUCCAUGAAGCUGGAUUCGCUAGUAAUCGCGCAUCAGCCAUGGCGCGGUGAAUACGUUCCCGGGCCUUGUACACACCGCCCGUCAAGCCAUGGGAGCCGGGGGUGCUUGAAGUGCGUCGCCGCAAGGCGCGCCCUAGAGCAAAACCGGUGACUGGGGCUAAGUCGUAACAAGGUACC